CGUGAAACUGCGAAUGGCUCAUUAAAUCAGUUAUCGUUUAUUUGAUAGUACCUUACUACUUGGAUAACCGUGGUAAUUCUAGAGCUAAUACAUGCUGAAAACCCCGACUUCGGGAGGGGUGUAUUUAUUAGAUAAAAAACCAAUGCCCUUCGGGGCUCCUUGGUGAUCCAUAAUAACUUCUCAGAUCGCAUGGCCUUGCGCCGGCGACGGUUCAUUCAAAUUUCUGCCCUAUCAACUUUCGAUGGUAAGGUAUUGGCUUACCAUGGUUUCAACGGGUAACGGGGAAUUAGGGUUCGAUUCCGGAGAAGGAGCCUGAGAAACGGCUCCUACAUCCAAGGAAGGCAGCAGGCGCGCAAAUUACCCAAUCCCGACACGGGGAGGUAGUGACAAUAAAUACUGAUACAGGGCUCUUUUGGGUCUUGUAAUUGGAAUGAGUACAAUUUAAACCUCUUAACGAGGAACAAUUGGAGGGCAAGUCUGGUGCCAGCAGCCGCGGUAAUUCCAGCUCCAAUAGCGUAUAUUAAAGUUGUUGCAGUUAAAAAGCUCGUAGUUGAACCUUUGGCCUGGCUGGCAGGUCCGCCUCACCGCGUGUACUUGUCCGGCCGGGCCUUUUCUUCUGGAGAACCGCAUGCCCUUCACUGGGUGUGUUGGGGACCAGGACUUUUACUUUGAAAAAAUUAGAGUGUUCAAAGCAGGCCUUUGCUCGAAUACGUUAGCAUGGAAUAAUAGAAUAGGACGUGCGGUCCUAUUUUGUUGGUUUCUAGGACCGCCGUAAUGAUUAAUAGGGACAGUCGGGGGCAUCAGUAUUCAAUUGUCAGAGGUGAAAUUCUUGGAUUUAUUGAAGACUAACUACUGCGAAAGCAUUUGCCAAGGAUGUUUUCAUUAAUCAGUGAACGAAAGUUAGGGGAUCGAAGACGAUCAGAUACCGUCGUAGUCUUAACCAUAAACUAUGCCGACUAGGGAUCGGGCGGUGUUUCAAUUUUGACUCGCUCGGCACCUUACGAGAAAUCAAAGUGUUUGGGUUCUGGGGGGAGUAUGG
rnacentral:rRNA from 1 species